rnacentral:rRNA from 1 species
AUACGGAAGGUCCGGGCGUUAUCCGGAUUUAUUGGGUUUAAAGGGAGCGCAGGCGGAGAUGCAAGCGUGACGUCAAAUUUCGGGACUCAACCCCGUCUCGCGUCGCGAACUGCGUCCCUUGGUUGCGGGAAGGGGAGGCGGAACUCGUGGUGUAGCGGUGGAAUGCAUAGAUAUCACGAAGAACUCCGAUCGCGAAGGCAGCCUUCCGGCCCGUCAACGACGCUCAUGCUCGAAGGUGCGGGUAUCAAACAGGAUUAGAUACCCUGGUAGUCCGCACAGUAAACGAUGGACACCCGCGGUUUGGCCUAUAUGGCUGAGCCGCCAAGCGAAAGCGUUAAGUGUCCCACCUGGGGAGUACGCCGGCAACGGUGAAACUCAAAGGAAUUGACGGGG